CCUACGGGAGACAGCAGUGGGGAAUAUUGGGCAAUGGAGGCAACUCUGACCCAGCAACGCCGCGUGAAUGAUGAAGGUCUUCGGACUGUAAAGUUCUGUGAUGGGGGAUGAACACAAUGACGGUACCCCAAUAGCAAGCCACGGCUAACUACGUGCCAGCAGUCGCGGGAAUACGUAGGUGGCAAGCGUUAUCCGGAAUGACUGGGCGUAAAGGGUGCGUAGGUGGUUUAGUAAGUUGGCGGUGUAAUUCCGGGGCUCAACCUCGGCGCUACCGCCAAAACUAUUAGACUAGAGUGCAGGAGGGGUAAGUGGAAUUCCUAGUGUAGCGGUGGAAUGCGUAGAUAUUAGGAGGAACAUCAGGGGCGAAGGCGACUUACUGGACUGUAACUGACACUGAGGCACGAAAGCGUGGGGAGCAAACAGGAUUAGAUACCCUUGUAGUC
rnacentral:rRNA from 1 species